AUGUAUAGGGAAGAAGGUGUGGAGUUGCGCGUUGUCAUUUAUAAAGUAAUUGUUAGAAUUCUUCGAUUUGUAGCAAAGCUUGACGAUGGCAGCAAGCAUCAAGUGGCCCAACAUGAUGUGGAGUUUGAGGUUAACAUGAAACAUUUUACGGUUGAAAUGAUAGAACUCAUUGGGUCCAAAAUUGUUUGGGGGAGUGGGCAGGAGGUUCAUAUUUUGUGCAAGGACAAGCAUUUUGAAUCAGUUGAGAGGAUUGAGAACUACUGGAAGUUGCUAACAUCAUUUCUCGAGAGAUGGGAAGAGAAAGAAUUGCUUGUGCUAGCUCAAGUUGUGGACAUUGCAAAGGGGUUUACGGCAUCAUCUUGCUCAGAAAUAUCCCAUCUAGUGAGAUAG
rnacentral:rRNA from 1 species